rnacentral:rRNA from 1 species
AUGGCGUCGUCUUCCUCCUCUAGUCUGCCUUCCAAUCCCUUUAGCCAGCAAGUCACCGAGCGCCUCACCAGGGAAAAUUUUCUUCUCUGGAAAGCCCAAGUUCCUCCCCAAAUUAGAGGCGCUCGCCUGUUUGGUUACAUGGACGGCACCACCGUCGCACCCUUGGAAUUCAUCGAGGUCCAGAAGGCUGACAAGAGCGGCCUGGAGCAAGUAGCCAAUCCCCUGUAUGAUCUAUGGGUCUAUCAAGAUCAACAGGUGUUGGCGUAUGUGAUGGGAUCUCUCUCACGGGAGGUCCUGGCGUAG